UACGGAGGGUGCGAGCGUUGUCCGGAAUCACUGGGCGUAAAGGGCGCGUAGGCGGCGCGGUAUGUCACCUGUGAAAUCUCCUGGCUCAACUGGGAGCUUGCAGGCGAAACUGCCGUGCUGGAGUGUGGGAGAGGUGCGUGGAAUUCCCGGUGUAGCGGUGAAAUGCGUAGAUAUCUGGAAGAACACCAAAGGCGAAGGCAGUGUCCUGGGUGGUCGCUGACGCUGAGAGGCGAAAGCCAGGGGAGCGAACGGG
rnacentral:rRNA from 1 species